rnacentral:rRNA from 1 species
GAUGAACGCUGGCGGCGUGCCUAAUACAUGCAAGUCGAGCGAACGGACGAGAAGCUUGCUUCUCUGAUGUUAGCGGCGGACGGGUGAGUAACACGUGGAUAACCUACCUAUAAGACUGGGAUAACUUCGGGAAACCGGAGCUAAUACCGGAUAAUAUUUUGAACCGCAUGGUUCAAAAGUGAAAGACGGUCUUGCUGUCACUUAUAGAUGGAUCCGCGGUGCAUUAGCUAGUUGGUAAGGUAACGGCUUACCAAGGCAACGAUGCAUAGCCGACCUGAUAGGGUGAUCGGCCACACUGGAACUGAGACACGGUCCAGACUCCUACGGGAGGCAGCAGUAGGGAAUCUUCCGCAAUGGGCGAAAGCCUGACGGAGCAACGCCGCGUGAGUGAUGAAGGUCUUCGGAUCGUAAAACUCUGUUAUUAGGGAAGAACAUAUGUGUAAGUAACUGUGCACAUCUUGACGGUACCUAAUCAGAAAGCCACGGCUAACUACGUG